UGAUUGACUCGUUAAAAUUUUGAUCUAUUUUCGGAUGCUCCCCCUGAUGAGAAUCAUUUAGGCUGAUCGUUGAUCAUUUCGCUUCAGUAUCUUAGCGAGAAGAGUUGCCGAAAGAUGUGCUUUACUUGUUGUUAACUUUCCACAUGCUUGUUCUUGAACUGGGUUGGAGGGUCUUCUGAUUUCCUCCAAAGGUUUGAAUUUACUUCUUUUAUCUGGAGUUGAAUUUGAUUCAAGGGUGGUGGACACUUGAUCUUGAAUUGGACUUGUGAUUUCUUCAAGGGUUGUCUAGACUUGAUCUUGAAUGAAAUUGGACCAUGAGGAGCUUCAUGUGACAAGUAAUCUUAGGCUUUGUCGGGGAUGAACUAGCAAGUGUUUUGUUGUGCUUGUCUCCACAUGUUUCAAUGUAUUAUUUUCACUUGCCUUAUUUGUUCCCCUUGUUGAAGUGGUAUUUUCCCUAUGCAAGUUUGACAUCUUCUCUUCUAGUAUUUGUCUUCUAAUGCAGAAGUGGAAUGCAAACCUUGUAUUUGGAUGGUACAUCACUUCUUGGUGACUCAUCCAUGUGUGGCAGCUUCAGUGUAAAAAGCCAACGACAAGCCAAUUAUUCUGCGGUGUUGAUGACUUGAGACCCAGCUCUAUCAACAGUUGAAGAUGAGUACUCGAGAACAAUUCUAGGUAAAAACAAGGAUAAAUGAAAGGACAUGAAGAUUGCAUGAUAUGAGAUACUCUUACUCUCGUCCUUGAUGAUAUGAGAUAAUCUUGCUCUGGUGUGACUGGUUUGAAGAGGUAUUCUCGGAGAGGAAGAAAAUUGAAUAUUUCGAGAUGCUUUGUUGAAGAUGCAUUCUCGAAGAUGAGGAAGAGUUGGGUAUUCUUGCAAGUCUGCCUUGUUAUGGAGAACGAAGGUCGACAUUUAUAGAGAUUUUUCAAUAGCAAGUAGUGAUGAUGUGCCUUUACUUUUGUCAGCAACUGUUGUGUAAUUAGAACAGUAAGAUUUACGCGUUUUCAACUUUGUUAGAGAUCUUUGACAAAGUUGCAUGCGAUAUCCAAAAAAACUGAGAUUGCAUCUGAAAAAUGCCAACGAACUUUAUUCAGGAAAAUCUGGCUUUUGAAAUUCA